AUUAAAACAGUUUGUCGUAUUUAAUGGACAAAGAGCUGAUGCUCUGCUCUCUGUUUUUCUUUGCAGUGUUUAAUAUGUUAAACCUUUAAAAGAAGAACCCUCUUCCUGGUUCACUGGGGGUGAACUGGCCCUGUACCCUUCACUUGACUCCCUCACUGCCUGUGAUGUGCCAUGCAAUAGCAGAGCAUCGGACAGACCAUUAAUGACAGGAACAGUCAUGGAGUCAUGCAGGCUAUCCCAGGGGUAGGGAGCAGGCAGGGCAGGGUUCUAGGUUCUGUACCUUGUGACAGCCGGACCGGUUUGGUGACAGGGACACCGUCGAUGGAGCAGAGGUGCCCACAGGGGUGAAGGCUGAUGAC